CACUAAGAAGCUAAAUCGGACACAGCGUUAGCCUUUUAAGCUAAAAAUUGGCGGCCUCCAACCGCCCUUAGUGA
rnacentral:tRNA from 1 species